CCCGUUAUGUCCUCUCACUAUUUUCUAAAGAGCACGGAUUUGAAAUAUAUAAUAUAAACAAACUUCUAAAUGGACACAAUCACACACUCUACUUUUCUCCAUGAUUUACUAAAUAAAAUAUAGUUUGCAUGGUUUGAGAUCAAAGAAGCCAUGCAAGCUUUGGAAAAAAAUCCUUUACAUGUCUUACAAUUCAAACAUCAUUGUUUUCACUCAUUCCAUGCUGACUAAUUAUCUAUAAAAAAAAACUUAUUUGAAUUUUCCCGACUAAUCCACCAGAGACAAUUUAUAAAAUGAUUGUUGAGAUCAAAGACAUCACAAUUCUAACUGAUGUACUUAGGUGAGGUUUUGGAAUUUGUGUCAAAUGGUCGGACUCCUUGAUGAUACAAGGUAAAAUAUUUUGUUCAUUAAAUUUCUGACAUAUUCGAAAGUAAGUUAAAAAAAAAUUAAAGGGAUUUUUAAAUUAGAAUAUCAGUUUUAAUA
rnacentral:lncRNA from 1 species